rnacentral:rRNA from 1 species
AGAGGGUGCAAACGUUGCUCGGAUUUACUGGGCGUAAAGCGCGUGUAGGCGGACUCGCAAGUCGGUUGUGAAAUCCCUGGGGCUCAACCUAGGAACUGCAUCCGAAACUGCUUGUCUUGAGUAAUGGAGAGGGUGGCGGAAUUCCCGGUGUAGAGGUGAAAUUCGUAGAUAUCGGGAGGAACAUCAGUGGCGAAGGCGGCCACCUGGACAUUUACUGACGCUGAGACGCGAAAGCGUGGGGAGCAAACAGGAUUAGAUACCCUGGUAGUCCACGCCGUAAACGAUGAGAACUAGGUGCAGCGGAUAUUGACCUCUGCUGUGCCGUAGCUAACGCGUUAAGUUCUCCGCCCGGGGAGUAAGGCCGCAAGGCUA